rnacentral:rRNA from 1 species
ACGGAAGGCAGCAGUGAGGAAUAUUGGUCAAUGGGCGGAAGCCUGAACCAGCCAAGUCGCGUGAAGGAUGAAGGUAUUAUGUAUUGUAAACUUCUUUAGUCGUAGAGAAAUAAGGUGCUCGUGAGCACUGAUGCUAGUAUACGAAGAAUAAGGAUCGGCUAACUCCGUGCCAGCAGCCGCGGUAAUACGGAGGAUCCGAGCGUUAUCCGGAUUUAUUGGGUUUAAAGGGUGCGCAGGCGGCUUUUUAAGUCAGUGGUCAAAGCGUGGGGCUCAACCCCAUCCCGCCAUUGAUACUGGAGAGCUUGAUUGCGGUCGAGGUUGGCGGAAUUCGUCGUGUAGCGGUGAAAUGCAUAGAUAUGACGAAGAACACCGAUUGCGUAGGCAGCUGACCAGGCCGUAAAUGACGCUCAUGCACGAAAGUGCGGGGAUCGAACAGGAUUAGAUACCCUGGUA